GACGGCGGGUGCGAGCGUUAAUCGGAAUUACUGGGCGUAAAGCGCAUGUAGGCGGCCGAACAAGUCAGGUGUGAAAUCCUCGGGCUUAACCUGGGAAGUGCACUUGAUACUGUCCGGCUAGAGUUUGGCAGAGGAAAGUAGAAUUCCCGGUGUAGCGGUGAAAUGCGUAGAUAUCGGGAGGAAUACCAGUGGCGAAGGCGGCUUUCUGGGCCAAUUCUGACGCUGAGGUGCGAAAUCGUGGGGAGCAAACAGG
rnacentral:rRNA from 1 species